rnacentral:rRNA from 1 species
AGAGAGAGACAUGCGCGCAUAUCAAUAAGCGGAGGAAAAGAAACUAACUAGGAUUCCCUCAGUAACGGCGAGUGAAGCGGGAAGAGCUCAAAUUUGAAAUCUUAAAGGUUUCCCUUGACGAAUUGUAGUUUAAAGAAGUGUUUUCUGUUGGAGGUUUUGGUAAAAGUUCUUUGGAAUAGGACAUCAUAGAGGGUGAGAAUCCCGUAUUUGACCAUUAUUUCCAGCUUUGUGAUACACUUUCAAAGAGUCGGAUUGUUUGGGAAUGCAGUCCAAAAUGGGUGGUAAAUUUCAUCUAAAGCUAAAUAUUGGCGAGAGACCGAUAGCGAACAAGUACCGUGAGGGAAAGAUGAAAAGAACUUUGAAAAGAGAGUUAAACAGUACGUGAAAUUGUCAAAAGGGAAGCGUUUGACACCAGUGUUGUUUUCUCGAAAAUCAAUUAAAAAAGGCAGGAUUUUGUGUUGUAUUGACUUUAUCAGCUUUCUGCACUCUUUUCUUGUCUUUUUUAAUGCACUUUUCGUUUAACAAGUCAACAUCAGUUUCUUUUGUUGUAAAAGGGUCAUUGGAAGGUGGCUUUCUUUUCGGAGAAAGUGUUUAUAGCCUUUGGCCUCUGCAAUCGGAGAGAUUGAGGUCUGCAGCGUAGAUCCUUCGGGGUUAGAUACAUUUGUGCUAAGUUAUAGCCUUUUCAUAGACAACUUGUUGACUAUGAUCAGUCAUGUAGCUUACUCGCUUAUGCUAUUUUACCUACGCUUAGGAUGUUGAUGUGAUACUGCGAGCA